GACUCUGGGGGUAAGUGGAGCAGUUAGCGUGGCGGCAAAGCAACUGUGUCUGAGGCGCUCUCUCCACGGAUACUUUCCUCAGGUGCGCGCUACUCGAGGCCACCCCAGAGUAGCACUGACACUUCAACUACAAAAUCAUUGGACCUCAGAGCCAACCAGACUCUGAGAAGUAGUACUUUGCCUCUUGGGUCACCAUUUCUCCAGCGUGGACCUCCUUUUUGGUUAUUUCAGAUCCAAACCUUAGAUUCCAGCCACGGACAACACAAGGACAGGGCCCUAGAUCGAGAUGACGACUGCAGAAGGAGGCCGAAUUGUCAGGCCUCGGCUCCUCUGGUUGGCUGUCCAACACGUCAGUCGGAAGUGAACAAGCUUUUAAUUGGUCUUAUGCAAUGGGAAACACAAAACACUCCUCUGAUUGGCCUCUUCGUCGAGGGGCGGGCCAUAGGGAGAGCGGCUUGUUUGGGCUGGAAUGGAAGACCAAUGGGAGCGCCGCGGCGCUGCUUUCGAAAGCGAGGCCUGCCAACAGCACCUGGAAGAGUCCGCCGGUUGUCUCGGAGAUCCUGUGGCUUGUUCGCCAUCAGCAAAGCAAUCACAAAAGAGCUAUUGCCUGUACAGUCCUCUUCAUCAUUUGUGACCUGGGAUAUUGAGCUCAUGGGCUGGCAGAAUUCCAGUCCAUGAGGCAAUCUGUGUCAUUCUGGUCUAGCCAGUCUCUGGCAACCACCAUUCUAUGUUGUCUCAAUGCAUUUGACUACUCUAGAAACCUCAUUGGUCUGGAACCCAACCCACAGUACCUCCAAGGUAUGCCUGUACGAAGUUUUGAAAUUGGUAAG